UACGUAGGGUGCAAGCGUUUAAUCGGAAUUACUGGGCGUAAAGCGUGCGCAGGCGGUUCGCUAAGACAGAUGUGAAAUCCCCGGGCUUAACCUGGGAACUGCAUUUGUGACUGGCGGGCUAGAGUAUGGCAGAGGGGGGUAGAAUUCCACGUGUAGCAGUGAAAUGCGUAGAGAUGUGGAGGAAUACCGAUGGCGAAGGCAGCCCCCCUGGGCCAAUACUGACGCUCAUGCACGAAAGCGUGGGGAGCAAACAGG
rnacentral:rRNA from 1 species